rnacentral:lncRNA from 1 species
AUUGGUGUUCCAGUCUUCGGAUGGACAAGAGCAAACCAAGGAGGAAUCAUGUGGGCUCGUGCAAUAUGAGUAGUAUACCGUGCUUGUCCAAGUGCCCCUACUAGAAGAACAGUGGUCAUCCCCUUCAGUGCACCAAGUGCUACCAGGUACUUUGCCCAAUUCAUCCCUACGCUCUGAAAUGCAAGAGAGUAAGCUGCAUUUGUGUCUAUAUCUGUGUAUUUCUGCAUCAUGCUUAGUGAAAGUGCCAUCAAGCAGUAUAUCACAGUGAUAAUUGACAUUGAUCCAACAAGUCCUAAUGGUAUGUCUCUUGAUGGGUUUUUGGUUUCUUCUGCCAUGGUGGCAAUACUGUCAAAUCCUCCAUAGGCAAAGUAAAUAAUGGCAGCUGCCUUAAAGAUCCCUUCAGCUCCAAAAGGCAAAAACGGUUUCAAAUUGGAAGUGUUUGCAUGGGCAAACCCUGCAAUUAUCACAAAUAAAAUUAUUGAAGUAUUGAUUAGAGUUGCUAUCCAGUUAAGUAAUGAAGUUUUCCUUGUGCUAAUCAUUGCGAUUGUUGCAGCAAUGACUAAAACCCCAACAGCAAUGGGGUCCAACAGAUUGAAGCCUUCGCUUAGAUUUGUAUGGAUGCGUAGAGAAUUUGGAUGACGAUUCAAAAGAGUCGUGAAGUAGGAAGUCCAUGCUCUAGCAACUGCUGCGCUGCUAACGAUG